CCUAGGUCGGGUCCUGCCCCGCCCAAGUGGCGCCGGCGUCUGUGUUGUCUGCGGUCUCCAGGGCAGCGCCGGGGCGCGCGGGGGCCCGGGCGGCGGCGGCGGCGGCGGCGCGAGAGGAUGCGGGGCCGCCCGGGUCGCGGCCGCGGAGGAGCGCCGGGCAGGUAAUGCCUUUGUGAACCACAACUUUAAAUAUCAGCCAACUGCUCCUAUCAACAAGAGUAUCCCGUUAAUUUUUUGCAUUUUUCAAGAUGAGUAAAAGUAAACUAAUUCCCAAGCUCUCUAUUCAAUCUCCUGUCCGUCAUACCAACUUAAAUGUCCAGUCCACACACCCACCUUUGAAGAAAGAAGACUUACAUCGGAUUUCAAAAGACUCCUUGGAAUCUGAUUCAGAAAGCCUCACUCAAGAGAUUAUGUGCCAUUCUGAGUUUGAUGAUCGAAUCCGGGACAACGGUUUGGAGCCCGACAGCUUAGACGAGGAGGAAAGCCCUCGACGGGGAAGCCUGCAUGAGACGGAAGAGGAAGCAAGUGGAAAAGCAGCUCAGAUGGCUUGCGAGCAAAACCACCAUACCUGGGACCAAGGCGCCAAAAACAGGCAACAACCAAUAGAAGACAAAUAUUCAGACCUCCGCUAUGACCCGAACUGGAAGAGUAAGAAGGAGGAAGGGCAGCUGCUGUCUGUGGAAGCGUUGCCGGAGUCCACGGACAGCUCUUUAGAAAAUCUGCCUUUGGCUCCCCUCUACCCUUCCCAGGAGACGUCAGUGGAACUCUCCGGGGGAAAAGGCGAGCAGAAAGAGAUUCCACAGAGUGCAGCCUCUUUACUUGGUAGUGAAUUUUUAAGUCCAAACUAUGAGCAUGGUGCCCGUCGCAGCAAGUCGUUUUUAGAGCCGAGCGACAGUGACCUGGAGGAGAAGUCGAGCAGCCUUUCUCGGUACGUGAAGAGCUCAAGUUCACAUAACGAGGUUUUCCUGCCGGGAUCACGUGGCCCUCGGCGAAGGAAGUCCAAACAACAUUUUGUGGAAAAAAACAAGCUCACUUUGGGAUUACCCAUCCCGAAAACGGGCUCUUAUCUCCAACUUCACAAUAAAAAAAGAGGGGAAUCUCAUCCAGAACAGAUCUCCUACCCCAUCAGAGUCACAGACAAGACUUCUAUUCAGAAUGCCAAGGAAAUUGAAAAUGCUGCCAUCGAUCCUGAAGACAAAUGGCAUCAAAGAGCACAACAGCUAAAGAAUUACCAGGAACACUGGUCUCAAUAUGAAAGUACAAAAUCAAGCAAUGUACCAAGAGGGCAACCUUCCGACACGGUGAAUGACCAUCAACCUUCCAGAAGACCAGCCAAGCUCAAGAUUCGAAAGCACCAGAAUGGCUUGAAGUCUUUCACAACGGAAGAGGUGACUGCCAGUCAGGGGAAUCAGAAUAACCCUCCCAGGCAGCAACAAAACCAAAAUAAGCCUCUUAAUACUUCAAGAAAGCCUGAAUCCAUUGUCAUUAUGCAUGCCUCUAACAAUGAUGUACAAGCCUCAAGGACAUUUAGGAGCCAGAAUCUCAAAGAAACCUCCAAUACAUUUGCUCCGCCAAAACAGGCUUUUGACAAGGUCUUACAUAAAAACUCUACUGGAUAUGACUCUGGGCUGAAUGUUAAUAAAGAAAGAGGACACGAAGACCAAGAAGAGAAAAGAUGUUCAUAUCAGCAGCUACACACCCUUUCUGACAUGGAUUUGAACCACCUUAAUGAACUUUCUAAGAGACAUGUGCUCCUGAGCCAGAAAGGCUCUCAGUUUGUUUAUCACGUAAAUACUCAUGGAUCAACUGAAAAUAAGAAACAACCCAAACAGCCUUAUACAGAGACAAAAUACAGGAACUUAGAAAUGUUAUGGAAAUUCCAUUCUUCUUCUGACAGCCAGCUGGUUAGAGCUUCUCCAGAUUCAUGGCUCACCCAGAUAAUGGAGCAGCAUCAGCAAGCCUUGGUGCAGCUGACCGACGUGCAGCCCAGUGAAGGGGCCUUAUCUAGAGUCACGCUUCCACCUAUACUGUCAAGGGUAGAAAGUGAAUCCCAACUCAGUUCAGAGAGAAGCCAAAGAAACCAAGUGAAAAUUAGCCGUAGCAAUUCUGAAGGCUAUCUGUUUCAACUGGAAAAGGGAAAAAAGCAUAAGAAAAGAAUCAGCAGUAAGAACACCAAGCUGAAAGGUUAUCAGAAAAGAGACGUGAAGCUUGGAGGCCUUGGACCUGACUUUGAGUCCAUCAGAGACAAAACGCAAAAAUUAAUACGGCAAAAGGAAUAUGCAAAACAAGUCAAGGAGUACAACAUGAAGACACUAUCCAUUCUAUCAAAACCACAAACAGAAAAAACUCAGAAUAAAUCUGCUAUCGCUCGGCAGAAGUAAGGAGUCUCUUGGGAGUUAUCCAGAAACCAAGUCAAGAAAAGACAAUAUUGAGGAACAAAAUAAAAGCUCUCUCCACCUCUCAAUAUAGGGGCUCUGAAAAAUAUGAAGAAAGGGAAAAAGAAUUUGGUGAACAGGAUUUCUCUCCCUUGCUGCCUCUCCAUUGCCUUUUCAUUUCCCCCUUGCAAACCUGGGUAAUCCUUCCGGGACUCACUUACCUAAAGACACAACCAGAAGCGAAAGAAUCAGAAGGAGCGGAUCUCCAAGGCCCGCCACGAGACUGGAGUCUGAGUCUUCCGGUCCGGGAGGGAACCGCGCUCGGCCCCGCAGUCUCCUCCCCUGCCUACUACCCUCCCCAGCCUGGCGGCUCAGAGCACGUGCGGCCCUGAGCCCAGCUCCCCCUCGUCUCCAAUGUCCACCUCGUCCUCUGGCUCGGUCAGCACGAAGGGACCGGCGGGCAGGCCCAGCCGAGCCUCGGCGGCGGCGGCGGCCUCUGAACCGCGGGGACUGCCCUCGGGGCUUUCUGGCCCGUCUGGUGCUUUGGGUUCGUCUUGGCUUUUCCGCAGUUGCUUUUUAUGCUUCAUCCGCCGGUUCUGGAACCACGUUUUCACCUGAUUUCGGGGAGAUAAAAAUAAAAUCAUGUCAUUCCUCCAAA